rnacentral:rRNA from 1 species
CACGUAGGCACCAAGCGUUGUCCGGAUUUAUUGGGCGUAAAGAGCUCGUAGGCGGUUCGGUAAGUCGGGUGUGAAAACUCUGGGCUCAACCCAGAGCCGCCACUCGAUACUGCUGUGACUCGAGUGCGGUAGGGGAGCGGGGAAUUCCUGGUGUAGCGGUGAAAUGCGCAGAUAUCAGGAGGAACACCAGUGGCGAAGGCGCCGCUCUGGGCCGUGACUGACGCUGAAGAGCGAAAGCGUGGGUAGCAAACAGG